AAAGAAAUCCAAGAACAUAACGUUAAAAUACAUGAAUUUCCAGAAACAGAUGAUGAAGAAGAAAAAAAACUUGUUAAAAAGAUAAAGUUACCUCUUGCUGUGGUGGGUAGUAAUACUAUCAUUGAAGUUAAUGGCAAAAGGGUCAUAGGAAGGCAGUAUCCUUGGAGUGUUGCUGAAGUUGAAAAUGGUGAACAUUGUGAUUUUACAGUUCUAAGAAAUAUGUUGAUAAGGGCAGGACUUGAAAGAUGUUACUAAUAAUGUCCACUACGAGAACUAUGGAAUCAGAAAACUGGCAGCUGUGACUUAUCAUGGAGUUGAUAACAAGAAGAAUAAAGGGACAGGAGCCCUCUGGCACAAAUGGAAGAAGAAAGAAGGGAGCAAGUAGCUAAAAUUAAGAAGAUGGAGAUGGAGAUGGAGCAGGUGUUUGAAAUGAAGGUCAAAGAAAAAGUUCAAAAACUGAAGGACUCUGAAGCUGAGGUACUCCAGCGGCGCCAUGAGCAAAUGAAAAAGAAUUUGGAAGCACAGCACAAAGAAUUGGAGGAAAAACGUCGUCAGUUUGAGGAUGAGAAAGCAAACUGGGAAGCUCAACAACGUAUUUUAGAACAACAGAACUCUUCAAGG
rnacentral:lncRNA from 1 species